rnacentral:misc_RNA from 1 species
GGCUAGCUGCCUGUGCAAUAGCUGUGAGUGUUAAUGGUUAAUGUUUUUAACCUUUUCAUUUCCCAAGUUGUUAUAACAACUAAAAAUUCUCAUGCUGUUCCUGCAUUUUUGGAAUUAUUUCAACAUCGAUGUUGUUCCUGAAAAUUUUAGGAAGUUAUCUGUUUGGACAUAAUUGUGCAGAAUGUGCAUCUCCUUUUUCUGCCUUUUAUACCUUUUCAUUGAUUCCAGAUGUUAAUUAUCUGUUUCAGGCUACGAUAUGCACAAUAGCUGCA